rnacentral:rRNA from 1 species
GGUUAAGCGACUAAGCGUACACGGUGGAUGCCCUGGCAGUCAGAGGCGAUGAAGGACGUGCUAAUCUGCGAUAAGCGUCGGUAAGGUGAUAUGAACCGUUAUAACCGGCGAUUUCCGAAUGGGGAAACCCAGUGUGAUUCGUCACACUAUCAUUAACUGAAUCCAUAGGUUAAUGAGGCGAACCGGGGGAACUGAAACAUCUAAGUACCCCGAGGAAAAGAAAUCAACCGAGAUUCCCCCAGUAGCGGCGAGCGAACGGGGAGCAGCCCAGAGCCUGAAUCAGUGUGUGUGUUAGUGGAAGCGUCUGGAAAGGCGCGCGAUACAGGGUGACAGCCCCGUACACAAAAAUGCACAUGCUGUGAGCUCGAUGAGUAGGGCGGGACACGUGGUAUCCUGUCUGAAUAUGGGGGGACCAUCCUCCAAGGCUAAAUACUCCUGACUGACCGAUAGUGAACCAGUACCGUGAGGGAAAGGCGAAAAGAACCCCGGCGAGGGGAGUGAAAAAGAACCUGAAACCGUGUACGUACAAGCAGUGGGAGCACGCUUAGGCGUGUGACUGCGUACCUUUUGUAUAAUGGGUCAGCGACUUAUAUUCUGUAGCAAGGUUAACCGAAUAGGGGAGCCGAAGGGAAACCGAGUCUUAACUGGGCGUUAAGUUGCAGGGUAUAGACCCGAAACCCGGUGAUCUAGCCAUGGGCAGGUUGAAGGUUGGGUAACACUAACUGGAGGACCGAACCGACUAAUGUUGAAAAAUUAGCGGAUGACUUGUGGCUGGGGGUGAAAGGCCAAUCAAACCGGGAGAUAGCUGGUUCUCCCCGAAAGCUAUUUAGGUAGCGCCUCGUGAAUUCAUCUCCGGGGGUAGAGCACUGUUUCGGCAAGGGGGUCAUCCCGACUUACCAACCCGAUGCAAACUGCGAAUACCGGAGAAUGUUAUCACGGGAGACACACGGCGGGUGCUAACGUCCGUCGUGAAGAGGGAAACAACCCAGACCGCCAGCUAAGGUCCCAAAGUCAUGGUUAAGUGGGAAACGAUGUGGGAAGGCCCAGACAGCCAGGAUGUUGGCUUAGAAGCAGCCAUCAUUUAAAGAAAGCGUAAUAGCUCACUGGUCGAGUCGGCCUGCGCGGAAGAUGUAACGGGGCUAAACCAUGCACCGAAGCUGCGGCAGCGACGCUUAUGCGUUGUUGGGUAGGGGAGCGUUCUGUAAGCCUGCGAAGGUGUGCUGUGAGGCAUGCUGGAGGUAUCAGAAGUGCGAAUGCUGACAUAAGUAACGAUAAAGCGGGUGAAAAGCCCGCUCGCCGGAAGACCAAGGGUUCCUGUCCAACGUUAAUCGGGGCAGGGUGAGUCGACCCCUAAGGCGAGGCCGAAAGGCGUAGUCGAUGGGAAACAGGUUAAUAUUCCUGUACUUGGUGUUACUGCGAAGGGGGGACGGAGAAGGCUAUGUUGGCCGGGCGACGGUUGUCCCGGUUUAAGCGUGUAGGCUGGUUUUCCAGGCAAAUCCGGAAAACUAAGGCUGAGACGUGAUGACGAGGCACUACGGUGCUGAAGCAACAAAUGCCCUGCUUCCAGGAAAAGCCUCUAAGCAUCAGGUAACAUCAAAUCGUACCCCAAACCGACACAGGUGGUCAGGUAGAGAAUACCAAGGCGCUUGAGAGAACUCGGGUGAAGGAACUAGGCAAAAUGGUGCCGUAACUUCGGGAGAAGGCACGCUGAUAUGUAGGUGAAGUCCCUCGCGGAUGGAGCUGAAAUCAGUCGAAGAUACCAGCUGGCUGCAACUGUUUAUUAAAAACACAGCACUGUGCAAACACGAAAGUGGACGUAUACGGUGUGACGCCUGCCCGGUGCCGGAAGGUUAAUUGAUGGGGUCAGCGCAAGCGAAGCUCUUGAUCGAAGCCCCGGUAAACGGCGGCCGUAACUAUAACGGUCCUAAGGUAGCGAAAUUCCUUGUCGGGUAAGUUCCGACCUGCACGAAUGGCGUAAUGAUGGCCAGGCUGUCUCCACCCGAGACUCAGUGAAAUUGAACUCGCUGUGAAGAUGCAGUGUACCCGCGGCAAGACGGAAAGACCCCGUGAACCUUUACUAUAGCUUGACACUGAACAUUGAGCCUUGAUGUGUAGGAUAGGUGGGAGGCUUGGAAGUGUGGACGCCAGUCUGCAUGGAGCCGACCUUGAAAUACCACCCUUUAAUGUUUGAUGUUCUAACGUUGACCCGUAAUCCGGGUUGCGGACAGUGUCUGGUGGGUAGUUUGACUGGGGCGGUCUCCUCCUAAAGAGUAACGGAGGAGCACGAAGGUUGGCUAAUCCUGGUCGGACAUCAGGAGGUUAGUGCAAUGGCAUAAGCCAGCUUGACUGCGAGCGUGACGGCGCGAGCAGGUGCGAAAGCAGGUCAUAGUGAUCCGGUGGUUCUGAAUGGAAGGGCCAUCGCUCAACGGAUAAAAGGUACUCCGGGGAUAACAGGCUGAUACCGCCCAAGAGUUCAUAUCGACGGCGGUGUUUGGCACCUCGAUGUCGGCUCAUCACAUCCUGGGGCUGAAGUAGGUCCCAAGGGUAUGGCUGUUCGCCAUUUAAAGUGGUACGCGAGCUGGGUUUAGAACGUCGUGAGACAGUUCGGUCCCUAUCUGCCGUGGGCGCUGGAGAACUGAGGGGGGCUGCUCCUAGUACGAGAGGACCGGAGUGGACGCAUCACUGGUGUUCGGGUUGUCAUGCCAAUGGCACUGCCCGGUAGCUAAAUGCGGAAGAGAUAAGUGCUGAAAGCAUCUAAGCACGAAACUUGCCCCGAGAUGAGUUCUCCCUGACUCCUUGAGAGUCCUGAAGGAACGUUGAAGACGACGACGUUGAUAGGCCGGGUGUGUAAGCGCAGCGAUGCGUUGAGCUAACCGGUACUAAUGAACCGUGAGGCUUAACCUU